AGAGUUUGAUCAUGGCUCAGAUUGAACGCUGGCGGCAGGCCUAACACAUGCAAGUCGAGCGGUAGCACAGAGAGCUUGCUCUCGGGUGACGAGCGGCGGACGGGUGAGUAAUGUCUGGGAAACUGCCUGAUGGAGGGGGAUAACUACUGGAAACGGUAGCUAAUACCGCAUAAUGUCGCAAGACCAAAGUGGGGGACCUUCGGGCCUCAUGCCAUCAGAUGUGCCCAGAUGGGAUUAGCUAGUAGGUGGGGUAAUGGCUCACCUAGGCGACGAUCCCUAGCUGGUCUGAGAGGAUGACCAGCCACACUGGAACUGAGACACGGUCCAGACUCCUACGGGAGGCAGCAGUGGGGAAUAUUGCACAAUGGGCGCAAGCCUGAUGCAGCCAUGCCGCGUGUGUGAAGAAGGCCUUCGGGUUGUAAAGCACUUUCAGCGGGGAGGAAGGCGAUAAGGUUAAUAACCUUGUCGAUUGACGUUACCCGCAGAAGAAGCACCGGCUAACUCCGUGCCAGCAGCCGCGGUAAUACGGAGGGUGCAAGCGUUAAUCGGAAUUACUGGGCGUAAAGCGCACGCAGGCGGUCUGUCAAGUCGGAUGUGAAAUCCCCGGGCUCAACCUGGGAACUGCAUUCGAAACUGGCAGGCUAGAGUCUUGUAGAGGGGGGUAGAAUUCCAGGUGUAGCGGUGAAAUGCGUAGAGAUCUGGAGGAAUACCGGUGGCGAAGGCGGCCCCCUGGACAAAGACUGACGCUCAGGUGCGAAAGCGUGGGGAGCAAACAGGAUUAGAUACCCUGGUAGUCCACGCCGUAAACGAUGUCGAUUUGGAGGUUGUGCCCUUGAGGCGUGGCUUCCGGAGCUAACGCGUUAAAUCGACCGCCUGGGGAGUACGGCCGCAAGGUUAAAACUCAAAUGAAUUGACGGGGGGCCCGCACAAGCGGUGGAGCAUGUGGUUUAAUUCGAUGCAACGCGAAGAACCUUACCUGGUCUUGACAUCCACAGAACUUUCCAGAGAUGGAUUGGUGCCUUCGGGAACUGUGAGACAGGUGCUGCAUGGCUGUCGUCAGCUCGUGUUGUGAAAUGUUGGGUUAAGUCCCGCAACGAGCGCAACCCUUAUCCUUUGUUGCCAGCGGUCCGGCCGGGAACUCAAAGGAGACUGCCAGUGAUAAACUGGAGGAAGGUGGGGAUGACGUCAAGUCAUCAUGGCCCUUACGACCAGGGCUACACACGUGCUACAAUGGCAUAUACAAAGAGAAGCGACCUCGCGAGAGCAAGCGGACCUCAUAAAGUAUGUCGUAGUCCGGAUUGGAGUCUGCAACUCGACUCCAUGAAGUCGGAAUCGCUAGUAAUCGUAGAUCAGAAUGCUACGGUGAAUACGUUCCCGGGCCUUGUACACACCGCCCGUCACACCAUGGGAGUGGGUUGCAAAAGAAGUAGGUAGCUUAACCUUCGGGAGGGCGCUUACCACUUUGUGAUUCAUGACUGGGGUGAAGUCGUAACAAGGUAACCGUAGGGGAACCUGCGGUUGGAUCACCU
rnacentral:rRNA from 1 species